AUUGAACGCUGGCGGCAUGCCUUACACAUGCAAGUCGAACGGUAACAGGUUAAGCUGACGAGUGGCGAACGGGUGAGUAAUGUAUCGGAACGUGCCCAGUCGUGGGGGAUAACUGCUCGAAAGAGCAGCUAAUACCGCAUACGACCUGAGGGUGAAAGCGGGGGAUCGCAAGACCUCGCGCGAUUGGAGCGGCCGAUAUCAGAUUAGGUAGUUGGUGAGGUAAAGGCUCACCAAGCCGACGAUCUGUAGCUGGUCUGAGAGGACGACCAGCCACACUGGGACUGAGACACGGCCCAGACUCCUACGGGAGGCAGCAGUGGGGAAUUUUGGACAAUGGGCGCAAGCCUGAUCCAGCCAUGCCGCGUACGGGAAGAAGGCCUUCGGGUUGUAAACCGCUUUUGUCAGGGAAGAAAAGGUUCUGGCUAAUACCUGGGACUCAUGACGGUACCUGAAGAAUAAGCACCGGCUAACUACGU
rnacentral:rRNA from 1 species